UACGAAGGGGGCUAGCGUUGCUCGGAAUCACUGGGCGUAAAGGGUGCGUAGGCGGGUUUUAAGUCAGGGUGAAAUCCUGGAGCUCAACUCCAGAACUGCCUUUGAUACUGGCGAUCUUGAGUCCGGGAGAGGUGAGUGGAACUGCGAGUGUAGAGGUGAAAUUCGUAGAUAUUCGCAAGAACACCAGUGGCGAAGGCGGCUCACUGGCCCGGUACUGACGCUGAGGUGCGAAAGCGUGGGGAG
rnacentral:rRNA from 1 species